CUUUAUCUUCUUCUCUAAGAUAACCCUCUGCUGUCGCCGCCUCAGUUAAAGUUAAGAUUGGUCUCUUUAGAAGCUUGAUGAUUUAAAGUGAUGAAUUAAGAGGAUUUUUCGACCUCCAUUUGAGUAACCUUGGAUCAAGUUAAUUGGAGAAUUUUACUAUCAACUAGGGAGUACCUUUGUUUGGCUAAAAUCUCCAGGCGAAGGUAAAGGUAGACGAAAGCUGGCGAGCGACAGAGAAGGAUCCGUGACAUGCCAUAUGGGGACUCAGUUUUGCUUCCGCGUUUAUGUUUCAAUGUUUUCAUAUUCCGUUUUUAAUGAAAAUUUAGUCUUCCCUCGUUUCAAAAAGGUGUCUCUUGUCAUUGUUUCUUUUUAGUAACGACCUCAGCUUAGUAUAAAGAGUUGGGUCGUUACAGAUACUUUGGUAGGAUUAUUGGAGAAGAUUAAUUUUGUUUUAGGAGAUUUCAAGUUUGACUUAAUUUGAAAGAAAUUGUUACAUUA